AGCGGGGCGAACCCGGCGAACUGAAACAUCUAAGUAGCCGGAGGAAGAGAAAACAAGAGUGAUUCCGGGAGUAGCGGCGAGCGAAACCGGAAGAGUCCAAACCGGCCAUGUUCCGGCAUGGCCGGGGUUGUAGGACCGCGACGUUCGGACAGCGAUGAACUAGAGCCCGUUGGAAAGCGGGGCCAUAGACGGUGAUAGCCCGGUAUAGGCAAAGAGCUGCGAGAUAGCGGUAUCCUGAGUAGUGCGGGGCACGUGAAACCCUGCAUGAACCCGGCGGGACCAUCCGCCAAGACUAAAUACUCCUGGGAGACCGAUAGUGUACCAGUACCGUGAGGGAAAGGUGAAAAGAACCGUGAACAACGGAGUGAAAAAGAUCCUGAAACCAUACGCCUACAAGCGGUCGGAGCCCUUCGGGGUGACGGCGUGCCUUUUGCAUAAUGAGCCUACGAGUUACUUUUACCGGCAAGGUUAAGGUGUUAAGCACCGGAGCCGUAGCGAAAGCGAGUCUUAACAGGGCGCCGCAGUCGGUAGUAGUAGACGCGAAACCGUGCGAUCUACCCAUGGGCAGGCUGAGGCUGUGGUAACACAUAGUGGAGGGCCGAACCCGUUGACGUUGAAAAGUCUUGGGAUGACCUGUGGGUAGGGGUGAAAGGCCAAUCAAGCUCGGAAAUAGCUCGUACUCCCCGAAAUGCAUUUAGGUGCAGCGUGUUAUUAGUUUUAUAGAGGUAGAGCUACUGAUUGGAUGCGGGGGCUUCACCGCCUACCAAUUCCCGACAAACUCCGAAUGCUAUAAAACGAUGUAACGCAGUGAGGGCAUGGGUGCUAAGGUCCAUGUCCGAGAGGGAAAGAACC
rnacentral:rRNA from 1 species